rnacentral:misc_RNA from 1 species
GCCUGUUCGAGCGUCAUUUAAACAAUCAAGCACCGCUUGGUCUUGGGUGCGGUCUUGGGACCCUCCCGUAACCAGUUGGCGGCACCGUCCGGCUCUGAGCGUAGCAGAAAUUUCGCUUCAGGAGCUCUGGCGAGGCCUGCCGGGUAACUCUUGCCUCAAAGUUUGACCUCGGAUCAGGUAGGGAUACCCGCUGAACUUAA